GUGGGGAAUUUUGGACAAUGGGCGCAAGCCUGAUCCAGCAAUGCCGCGUGCAGGAAGAAGGCCUUCGGGUUGUAAACUGCUUUUGUACGGAACGAAACGGUCCGGGUUAAUACCCUGGGCUAAUGACGGUACCGUAAGAAUAAGCACCGGCUAACUACGUGCCAGCAGCCGCGGUAAUACGUAGGGUGCAAGCGUUAAUCGGAAUUACUGGGCGUAAAGCGUGCGCAGGCGGUUUUGUAAGACAGGCGUGAAAUCCCCGGGCUCGACCUGGGAAUUGCGCUUGUGACUGCAAGGCUGGAGUGCGGCAGAGGGGGAUGGAAUUCCGCGUGUAGCAGUGAAAUGCGUAGAUAUGCGGAGGAACACCGAUGGCGAAGGCAAUCCCCUGGGCCUGCACUGACGCUCAUGCACGAAAGCGUGGGGAGCAAACAGGAUUAGAAACCCGUGUAGUCC
rnacentral:rRNA from 1 species